GGAUAAUCUGCCCUUAGGUGGGGGAUACCCUCGGGAAACUGAGAAUAAUACCCCAUAGAUCUAAGAUGCUGGAAUGCUUUUAGAUUGAAAGAUUCAUCGCCUAAGGAUGAGUCUGCGGACUAUCAGGUUGUAGUCAGGGUAACGACCUGACUAGCCUACGACGGAUACGGGUUGUGAGAGCACUAGCCCGGAGAUGAUAUCUGAGACACGAUAUCAGGCCCUACGGGGCGCAGCAGGCGCGAAAACUUCGCACUGUGCGAAAGCACGACGAGGGAAUCCCAAGUGCUAGCUCGUAAGAGUUAGCUGUUUUUCUGUCUAAAAACAGAGAGAGUAAGGGCUGGGUAAGACGGGUGCCAGCCGCCGCGGUAAUACCUGCAGCCCAAGUGGUGGCCGCUAUUAUUGGGCCUAAAACGUUCGUAGCCGGUUCUAUAAAUGCCUGGGUAAAUCGUACGGCUCAACCGUACGAAUUCCGGGUAGACUGUUCAACUUGGGACCGGGAGAGGCUAGAGGUACUCC
rnacentral:rRNA from 1 species